AAAUGAUAUUGAGACCUCUGAAGCUGUCUCUGAAAAACUCCAAGCCAACCAUAAAGCUGUUUAUCAUAGGACCCAUCACCACAACUACUAAGAUAGCUCUUACUCCUCUCAUAGCAUGCAUUGAGUCCUUGACUUAUUUGCUGAUUAUGUAACGGGAUAGUCUCAUCCUCGUGAUGCUGAUCCCCACCCUUCCAUUUCCUAAAACCAUUUUUCGGCCAUUUCAUCUUCGGCGCCGCUUCCAACACCUUUGUCAAGUUAGAGAAGCUCGCCGUCUUCGGAGGGGGGA
rnacentral:misc_RNA from 1 species